UGGCCUGUCUUGUAAGCAGGAUGGGAAA
rnacentral:piRNA from 1 species